rnacentral:rRNA from 1 species
GUAGUCUCGCACAGAUGCAUAUCAAUAAGCGGAGGAAAAGAAACUAACAAGGAUUCCCCUAGUAACGGCGAGUGGAAGCGGGAAGAGCUCAAAUUUGAAAUCUUAAAGGGUUUCCCUUUACGAAUUGUAGUUUAAAGAAGUGUUUCUGUUGAGGUUUUGGUAAAAGUUCUUUGGAAUAGGACAUCAUAGAGGGUGAGAAUCCCGUAUUUGACCUUUACUUUCAACUUUGUGAUACACUUUCAAAGAGUCGGAUUGUUUGGGAAUGCAGUCCAAAAUGGGUGGUAAAUUUCAUCUAAAGCUAAAUAUUGGCGAGAGACCGAUAGCGAACAAGUACCGUGAGGGAAAGAUGAAAAGAACUUUGAAAAGAGAGUUAAACAGUACGUGAAAUUGUCAAAAGGGAAGCGUUUGACACCAGUGUUGUUUUUCUGAAAAUCAAUUAAAGAACUGUUUAUGCUAAGCUGUUUAGACUUUAUCAGCUAAUCUGUUUAGUUUUGAGCUUUUCUUUAAUGCACUUUUCAGUUAACAAGUCAACAUCAAUUUCUUUUGCUGUAAAAAAGCUUGAGGAAGGUGGCUUGAGAUUCGUCUUAAGUGUUUAUAGCCUCUUGCCUAUGCAGUCGGAGAGAUUGAGGUCUGCAGCGUAGAUCCUUCGGGGCUAAAUGCAUUUGUGCUAAGUUAUAGCAUUUUAUAGACAACUUGUUGACUAUGAUUUGUCUUGUAGCUUACUCGCUUAUGUUAUUUUACCUACGCUUAGGAUGUUGAAGACUCUACAGAGAUA